GGAGAGAUAGAGUGAAAUGGGUGGUAGGUGUAGGAGGGAAAGCCAGGGUGGGGUGGGGUGGGUCGGGUCUUGUCUUCUCAAGAAGUGGGCUAGAUACUCCAGGACACAGCCCUGAGGUUGCUGCCUUGGAGAGGAAGUUAGGAACAUGCUAGAAGCUCCUGAGCUGGGUGGAAAUUUGAAAUUUCAACAGUGUGGAACAUUUAACUCCUCCCUUCAUUUGAAACAAGCAAAGAAAGAUCCUCUGAAACCAUGACUGUGACCCAAAAGAUGAUACACAGUAAUGCUAUUAGAAUUUACAAUUCUGGGAAAGUAGGAUAAUUCAGUACAAUACAUAUUUGGAGCUACAUUUGCCUAGAAAACCAUUUGUUUGCUAGCUGUGACACAGAUGCAACGGAAAUGGAGUGAGCCAUGAAGCUGCAAAAGAAAAAAAAAACUCGCAUCAGGGUAAACAGAUUCAGAAUCCUAAUUCUACAAAGCUCCCAAUGAUAUCAGCUGGAACUGAGGGCUCCUGGCAUUUCAGUAAGUGAAAGGGUAGGCUCUGGAUUUGCAUAAAGCCAAGCAUUCAUGUGGGAAGGUGCCUCAAAAACCAAUGCAUAAAAACAAGCACUUGUGAAAGGAAAACACUCAUGGAAUUAAUGGCACAUUAACGUACCUUCCAAAAAUUAUUCCAGAUAUGGCAGCAAAUAAUAGAGCCAGACUCUUUCCAGAAAAUGUCAAGAAAAUAAUGAAGAACCAAAAGAGCCUGAAAAUGAACUAAGCCUAGAAUUCAUCUCAAAUGUAGAUGACGAUUGAAACAAGGAUAAUAACAUAAUAGGAGGCAGAAGUGCACAAUAUAUACAGGGGCAAAGUCAUUUAAGAUUAUUUGUGAUCUAAGUACAAGAGAGACAAGGAUGGCAAUCAUAGUUGUAGUAGUGAUAACACACAGAGAAUGUGCUGAAUUACUACAGGAAAUUGGGACUUAUUUUCCUUUGCAUGCAGGCGGUGUGAGUGCAUCUUUCUUUAGUGUCCUCUCCAAAAUGAGAGUUAUCUCCAACUAGAAUUUGAUGCAAAACAAUAUGAAGCUCAGUGUCUAAGCACAGGCUGCUACCCAAGUAGAGAGGAGAGCAGAUUUGACAUUUCCAGCAGAGAGAUGUCAGUGCUGGGCAGUUUGAGAGUCAUCUCAACCUUUUCUGGAGUUCCUGGGACUGUCUUUCAAUGUUCAGGAGUUUGAAUCAAUCCCAUUCUUAGGAAGUGGGGACUGUGAAGCCUCUAAAGAAAAAUGACCAAGGUGGAAUUGUCUCUUGCUCUUUUCUUUGAAUUCAUCAGAGUGAAAUUUUAUAAUGGUAUUUCCAGAGCCAUCUGGUUCUUCCUUCUUACACAGAAGAGCAGUGCCAUCUGCUGAAAAGAGAUGUGUAUGUAAUAAUGACUUGUGACUCCAGAGACCAAACACUCAGGGCCUGAUUCUCCACAGCCUUACACCUUGUACAAUAGUGAGGGUGAAACACUACCGAAUCAGAGUGGUAGCACUUUACACCUCCACAAAGUGAGUGUAAGGGACAACCCAAGGUACAGAGAAUUACACCCUAGAUUAUUGUCCUGUGAACAACAAGAUCCCCACCCCCACCUCAGUGAUCACCUUCAGAAGAGGAUAUAUGUGCAGCUCA